rnacentral:rRNA from 1 species
GCGGGCAUGCUUAAACAUGCAAGUCGAACGGCAGCACGAGAGAGCUUGCUCUCUUGGUGGCGAGUGGCGGACGGGUGAGUAAUAUAUCGGAACGUGCCUAGUAGCGGGGGAUAACUACUCGAAAGAGUGGCUAAUACCGCAUACGCCCUACGGGGGAAAGGGGGGGAUCUCAAGACCUCUCACUAUUAGAGCGGCCGAUAUCGGAUUAGCUAGUUGGUGGGGUAAAGGCUCACCAAGGCAACGAUCCGUAGCUGGUUUGAGAGGACGACCAGCCACACUGGGACUGAGACACGGCCCAGACUCCUACGGGAGGCAGCGGUGGGGAAUUUUGGACAAUGGGGGAAACCCUGAUCCAGCCAUCCCGCGUGUAUGAUGAAAGCCUUCGGGUUGUAAAGUACUUUUGGCAGAGAAGAAAAGGUACCUCCUAAUACGAGGUACUGCUGACGGUAUCUGCAGAAUAAGCACCGGCUAACUACGUGCCAGCAGCCGCGGUAAUACGUAGGGUGCAAGCGUUAAUCGGAAUUACUGGGCGUAAAGCGUGUGUAGGCGGUUCGGAAAGAAAGAUGUGAAAUCCCAGGGCUUAACCUUGGAACUGCAUUUUUAACUGCCGAGCUAGAGUAUGUCAGAGGGGGGUAGAAUUCCACGUGUAGCAGUGAAAUGCGUAGAUAUGUGGAGGAAUACCGAUGGCGAAGGCAGCCCCCUGGGAUAAUACUGACGCUCAGACACGAAAGCGUGGGGAGCAAACAGGAUUAGAUACCCUGGUAGUCCACGCCCUAAACGAUGUCAACUAGCUGUUGGGGCCGUUAGGCCUUAGUAGCGCAGCUAACGCGUGAAGUUGACCGCCUGGGGAGUACGGUCGCAAGAUUAAAACUCAAAGGAAUUGACGGGGACCCGCACAAGCGGUGGAUGAUGUGGAUUAAUUCGAUGCAACGCGAAAAACCUUACCUACCCUUGACAUGUCUGGAAUCCCGAAGAGAUUUGGGAUUGCUCGCAAGAAAACACGAACACAGGUGCUGCAUGGCUGUCGUCCGCUCCGGUCGUGAAAAGUUGGGUUAAGUCCCCCAACGA